rnacentral:lncRNA from 1 species
UUGGCUUUUCUUUUUUUUUCAUGGAUUACCGAUGCCCACAUGUUUCAAAGGGAUCUCAAAGAGGAAAAUGGAGAGAUGUCAUGAUGGUGAUGUAAGGAGUAAAAUUGUGUAUGAGGAUGCGCAAACCUUAGGGUGAGAGUUUGGCAUACUUAUUUGGUGGAAGCUAAGGCGCAACUCUCAGGGUAAGAGUUGGUAUAUUUUUGGUGGAUGGAAGGGUGCAUGUUGUGCGCAACUUCUCAAUGUGAGAGUCAGCUUUAUUUGGUGGGUGCAUGAAUCUCAUAUCAUGGGUGCA